UCAGCCAAUUCAUAAAACCCUGAGAUGCC
rnacentral:piRNA from 1 species